CACAAACAGCAUCAUGAGAGGUUUCCUGAUCCCUACAGCUGCAGUAAUCCUCUCCCCAGAAAGUAGGAGAUGAUCAUAUCAGGAAGGGCUUUAAUAAGUCAUCAGAAUCAAUGCUUUCAACAGAACAGACUCUACAUCUAGAUCCAAAUACAAUCAACAGCAGGCUAAGGACACUCCUUUCUCCUGAGCUGACCUUAGAAAUCAUGAAUUCAUCUUGGUUCACAUCUAUACCAUUUCUUUCCUGAACUUCAACAAAACAAAAUACAAUAUGUAAAUUAUACUAUUUGCCACAUUCCAGUUUUUGUGUGUUAUGAAAACACCUUUUAGAAUGUAUGUGACUAGAACAAGAAGACAUUUUUCUAUGAUAAUUUAAGAUACGGUAUUUUUAAUAAAGUAUUCUAAACAAAUACUAUAGAAACUGACUUUUGAUUUUAUGCAGAUAAUUUUUAUUUUAUUUUAUUUAUUGUUUUGCUUU